GACGAACGCUGGCGGCGUGCUUAACACAUGCCAGUCGAACGAUGAAGCCCAGCUUGCUGGGUGGAAGAGUGGCGAACGGGUGAGUAACACGUGAGUAACCUGCCCUGAACUCUGGGAUAAGCACUGGAAACGGUGUCUAAUACUGGAUACGACCUAUCACCGCAUGGUGUGUGGGUGGAAAGAUUUAUCGGUUCUGGAUGGACUCGCGGCCUAUCAGCUAGAUGGUGAGGUAAUGGCUCACCAUGGCGACGACGGGUAGCCGGCCUGAGAGGGUGACCGGCCACACUGGGACUGAGACACGGCCCAGACUCCUACGGGAGGCAGCAGUGGGGAAUAUUGCACAAUGGGCGCAAGCCUGAUGCAGCAACGCCGCGUGAGGGAUGACGGCCUUCGGGUUGUAAACCUCUUUUAGUAGGGAAGAAGCGAAAGUGACGGUACCUGCAGAAAAAGCACCGGCUAACUACGUG
rnacentral:rRNA from 1 species